AUGAUACCUCAGCCUGAUGAAAGCGUAACUAACUUCAUUGGGAAUCACAUCUGUGAAGUUUUUUCAGCUGGGCAAAUGAUGGAGGGUGAUGUAAUGGACUUCCUCAUUGAUGAUUGGAAGCAAGAUCCCGAGAGAAAUGCUGAUUUUGCAUCUAGGAAAAGGAUAUUGCUGAGUCCAUAUUUCAUCACGAUCAUGAUGCCUCUAUUCAAGCCUAUGGUUUUAUCAAAGGAUAGGAAAGUGAACCACUAUUCCUUAUAUGUCAUGAAUCGGUACCGAAGUAGCGUUGACAUCCUUGACUCUUUACCUUAUCCGAAGAACCACCCUCCUUCAAAGAACACCUAUCACAAAGACUGUGAGAAGAUUAUUUCUAGAUUGGUCAAAGUAAUGAAGGUUGUGUAUGGUGAUGCUCAGUACAAUGCGAGCAAGCAGCCCAAUUGGGAGCUGUUUGCAAAGAAACCAACGUUUGUCAAGGUUCCACUUCAAGGGGAAAAUGAAUGUGGCCAUUAUACUCUGAAGUAUGCGGGAUGCUAUGAUGGUGAAAAGAUCGUUGAGAACAUUCGGGAUAAUGACCCACGCAUUGUUGAUUGGAACUUUGAGGAUCUGUAUAGAGUUGUGUUCAACCGGAAUAACCAUCUUAUGGUGACGGAGCUUCCCAAGGAGGUUCAGGCUUUGGCUCCUGAUGCAUAG
rnacentral:rRNA from 1 species